rnacentral:lncRNA from 1 species
UUUGACAUCUCCAUGUCCAUGACUUGUGAAACAUAGUCAUCAACUAAUACAUGUACUAGCCUAAUAUUCAUGUGUGUCCACACAUGAACUCCAACUAGGGACAACUUUUAGAAUAAUAAAGAGUUCCACAUACAAUUCACAUAAUUGCAUAUCAAUUCAAGUAGCCUUUAAUGGAUAUUCAAUGAACACAAUAUACAAAUCAUGGAUACAAUUAGAUAUCAUCAUCUCUAUGAUUGCCUCUAGGGCAUACCUCCAAC